GAUGAACGCUGGCGGCGUGCCUAAUACAUGCAAGUCGAGCGAACGGACGAGAAGCUUGCUUCUCUGAUGUUAGCGGCGGACGGGUGAGUAACACGUGGAUAACCUACCUAUAAGACUGGGAUAACUUCGGGAAACCGGAGCUAAUACCGGAUGAUAUUUUGAACCGCAUGGUUCAAUAGUGAAAGACGGUUUUGCUGUCACUUAUAGAUGGAUCCGCGCUGCAUUAGCUAGUUGGUAAGGUAACGGCUUACCAAGGCAACGAUGCAUAGCCGACCUGAGAGGGGGAUCGGCCACACUGGAACUGAGACACGGUCCAGACUCCUACGGGAGGCAGCAGUAGGGAAUCUUCCGCAAUGGGCGAAAGCCUGACGGAGCAACGCCGCGUGAGUGAUGAAGGUCUUCGGAUCGUAAAACUCUGUUAUUAGGGAAGAACAAAUGUGUAAGUAACUGUGCACAUCUUGACGGUACCUAAUCAGAAAGCCACGGCUAACUACGUG
rnacentral:rRNA from 1 species